AUCACAAUGCUGAAGGAAAAAAAUUGUGCUUUUCAUCGUCGACAUGCACACUGCUAUUAUCUGAGCAGACCAUUAAUCGGAAUUCCAGCUUUCAUCUAUAGAACCACUGAGUACCCGACUCCAUAGCUGGUUUCUAAGCACUCAAAUGCAUGGCACAGGCAUGACCAGGCCUCCUGUUUCCAAAGUUGCAAAGUUAUUCUAGUUCCGAGAACACAUCAAUGAAUUUGUCGACGUAAAAAAAAAAUCGAUUAAUGCAAGCUGCGCUUAUCCAUUAAAAAACUUCAGCUGCCAAAAAGAAAUUAAUGUUCUAAUAGAGAAAGGCAUAUGCCGACCAUCACACUACACAUAAACAUAAGCUAAACCAAAUUACUGCACCAAACUGCAUGUGGCGUACUACCACAUAACAGCCCACACUUUAAACUUUUGGAUUGCAGUGUAUGCCUUUCGGAUUAAAAGCGACAAAAACAUUCAAUCGCUUGAAACGUAGACGAUCUAGCAAUGCCAAGUACGGAAAACAUCUACGUCUUUCAGUAAAAGGCGCUUAGAUCAACCUAAGCAAAUGACAGCUUGAACAUUCGAAAUUUAAUUUUCUCAGCUACACAACAAAAAUGGGCUUUCUAACGUAAUAAUGGGAUUCUCUAUUAUGCACGUCCCAAUACUAUCAACCAUCUAGUAAUUUUGUGGACGUUUUAAACUAAUAUCCACAUGCAUACUACGGUACCAUCCACAAUCAAACGGACUCAUAGAAAUGUGGCACAGAUCAUUACAUUUUAUCCUAGUGCGGGACACAGCAGUCACCAACGGUAAUGUUUUGACUUCGCACCUCUUUAAAGAAAAACAACAAAGCAUCCGCAGCAGGGAUUCUGUAUGGUACGAUGUACCCUAUCGAGUUGCAAACGAAUAGUAGCACCUAAGAAAUCCUUUUACACUGCAGUACCCGUUGACCGCCCCAAUCUAGCAUGCAAAGGAUGAUACGCUUUUGCUGGCAACAGGAAUUCUAUCAUUUCCCAAAGACGUACGGCGACAUGUACAAUUUGUAAAUUCAAUUUCAUGACAUCCACUGGUGGAGGAGUACGGUUGCAAUCACAUCUAGCUGUAUGAGGAGGAAGCAAUGUACAAUUUUAAAAUAAAUAACUAUAUAAAAUC